rnacentral:rRNA from 1 species
GGGAAGGUCUUGACGGAGCACGCCGCGUGAGUGAUGAAGGCUUUCGGGUCGUAAAACUCUGUUGUUAGGGAAGAACAAGUGCUAGUUGAAUAAGCUGGCACCUUGACGGUACCUAACCAGAAAGCCACGGCUAACUACGUGCCAGCAGCCGCGGUAAUACGUAGGUGGCAAGCGUUAUCCGGAAUUAUUGGGCGUAAAGCGCGCGCAGGUGGUUUCUUAAGUCUGAUGUGAAAGCCCACGGCUCAACCGUGGAGGGUCAUUGGAAACUGGGAGACUUGAGUGCAGAAGAGGAAAGUGGAAUUCCAUGUGUAGCGGUGAAAUGCGUAGAGAUAUGGAGGAACACCAGUGGCGAAGGCGACUUUCUGGUCUGUAACUGACACUGAGGCGCGAAAGCGUGGGGAGCAAACAGGAUUAGAUACCCUGGUAGUCCACGCCGUAAACGAUGAGUGCUAAGUGUUAGAGGGUUUCCGCCCUUUAGUGCUGAAGUUAACGCAUUAAGCACCCGGCCGGGGGG